rnacentral:lncRNA from 10 species
CAUAGUGUGGCUUAGAAGGCCCUUCACAGGAUGACUGACCCCUGUGGAACUACUCAGGAUUCUUUGUUGCAGCCAAGAAAAGCCAAUUCUUGUUGAUUAAGCAGAAAAGGAGUCUUUUUGGAAAGAUAUCAAGUAACUCAUAGAAUUGUCCAGAAGGCUAAGGAACUGGCUUGGAAAAACAACAGAAGCUCAGGGAGGAGAGAUAAAGACUUUGGGAGCAAAGAUGAGGUUCGGAGAAAGGUUUACUGUCAAGCAAGGAAUCUGAUCUGACCCAGAGAACUUCAGUUCUGGGGAUGAGGCCCUAAGAAUCCGGUCUCCGUCAGGAAAGCAGUCUGUGGGCUCUGGAGCGACCUGGGAUCUGGAGGGAGUUUCACAAAUGGAUAAGCCAGAAGGAAGGCAUUCCUGGCAGAUACGAGAGCAUAUGCAGACAGUUCUGUUGGACAGUGCUGCAAGGAUGGAGAGACUAUUAAGAUCACCUGACUACACCAUUUAAAAAAUUUUUUGAAUGAACUAUCUUUGUUUGUAAGCCCCA